AUCUGGUGUCCGUCUGGAAAGAGCGGAAGCGAUGGAAACGAAGAAACCCUAAAAGACGAAUCCUUGGAGAGAGGAUAUGGAGGGGAAUAUCCGAUGGUCCCACAUGAGAAUUUUGCUACUUCACUGGGACUCAAUGAUGCUUCUUGGCUCAUUGAUGAUAUGCAACAAAGAAGAAAAGACCAACUCAGGGACUCUCCUGUGAGCUAAUGGGAGCUUUAGAUUGUGCCUUUUGAGCUUGCACACUACCGUUCAAUGAGUCUGAAUUGAGGCUUGCUUCUAGCAUUCGCUUGCUGGUUUCCCUUGUAGGAAGGGAGGAAUUUGAUAAAAUGAAGCAUCAAGGAUAGAAGAUGAACCUUUUGGUUCUCAAUCUUUUUGUCAACAUUAGCUUUCCAUCUCCUAACGGAGUAGACUGGAUGUCCCCGAAACAUGGUUAAAAAAUGUUAUCCUAUGGGCCUAAUAACCCUGGUACCAGAAAAUAAGUUUGAUCACUGCCCAGCCGACGAAGCGGCCAACAUGAACUCAUUACUGUAGGA